rnacentral:tRNA from 2 species
GGCUCCGUGGUCUAGCCUGGAUAUGACGAUAGCCUCCUAAGCUGUAGGUCCCGAGUUCGAAUCUCGGCGGAGUCG